GACGAACGCUGGCGGCGCGCCUAACACAUGCAAGUCGAACGAAGCUCUUCGGAGCUUAGUGGCGGACGGGUGAGUAACACGUGAGCAACCUGCCUCAUAGAGGGGGAUAACGUUUGGAAACGAACGCUAAUACCGCAUAACACCUUUGGAGGACAUCCCUCGGAGGUCAAAGGAGCAAUCCGCUAUGAGAUGGGCUCGCGUCCGAUUAGAUAGUUGGCGGGGUAACGGCCCACCAAGUCGACGAUCGGUAGCCGGACUGAGAGGUUGAUCGGCCACAUUGGGACUGAGACACGGCCCAG
rnacentral:rRNA from 1 species